UAGAUAAUGCGUAGGAAAUGGUCGGGAUAGCUCAGUUGGUAGAGC
rnacentral:tRNA from 1 species